rnacentral:rRNA from 1 species
ACGAACUGCACAAACGUUAUUCGGAAUCACUGGGCUUAAAGAGUUCGUAGGCGGCCAGGUCAGUCGGGUGUGAAAUCCCUCGGCUCAACCGAGGAACUGCGCCCGAUACUGCUUGGCUUGAGGGAGUCAGAGGUGAGCGGAACUGAUGGUGGAGCGGUGAAAUGCGUUGAUAUCAUCAGGAACACCGGUGGCGAAAGCGGCUCACUGGGGCUUUUCUGACGCUGAGGAACGAAAGCUAGGGGAGCGAACGGG